UGGGUUAAGUCCCGUAACGAGCGCAACCCCUAUCCCUGGUUGCUAGCAGGUAAUGCUGAGAACUCCAGGGAGACUGCCGGUGACAAACCGGAGGAAGGUGGGGAUGACGUCAGGUCAUCAUGGCCCUUACGGCCAGGGCUACACACGUGCUACAAUGGCGCGUACAGAGGGCUGCCAACUCGCGAGAGUGAGCCAAUCCCUUAAAACGCGUCGUAGUCCGGAUCGGAGUCUGCAACUCGACUCCGUGAAGUCGGAAUCGCUAGUAAUCGCGAAUCAGAAUGUCGCGGUGAAUACGUUCCCGGGCCUUGUACACACCGCCCGUCACACCAUGGGAGUGGAUUGCACCAGAAGUAGUUAGUCUAACCUUCGGGAGGACGAUUACCACGGUGUGGUUCAUGACUGGGGUGAAGUCGUAACAAGGUAACCGUA
rnacentral:rRNA from 1 species